rnacentral:lncRNA from 1 species
CCAAAGGAAAGAAAAUUGACAAGCUUUCUGAUGCUGGAGAACAUACUCUUUUGAAGGUUCAAAAGGGAUAUUUUUCUCCAAUUAAGAAAGAUUGUCAUGGAACAUUUUUUCGUUCGGAAGAGAAGAAAGAAAAAGAAGAUUCACCCCAAAGGAAAGAAAAUUGACAAGCUUUCUGAUGUUGGAGAACAUACUCUUUAGAAGGUUCAAAAGGGAUAUUUUUCUCCAAUUAAGAAAGAUUGUCAUGGAACAUUUUUUCGUUCGGAAGAGAAGAAAGAAAAAAGAAGAUCCACCCCAAAGGAAAGAAAAUUAACAAGCUUUCUGAUGUUGGAGAACAUACUCUUUCGAAGGUAUAUUAAUAUUUUUUUUAUAUCUUGUUUCUCGAAUCAGUUAUUUCAUCUUUGAUCAUUUUUAACGCCAAGUAUUUUCUAUUUGAAGGUUCAA